GACGAACGCUGGCGGCAGGCCUAACACAUGCAAGUCGAGCGAGCGGCGGACGGGUGAGUAAUGUAUGGGGACUGCCCGAUAGAGGGGGAUAACUACUGGAAACGGUGGCUAAUACCGCAUACUGUCGGAUAACCCAUAUGUGAUUAGCUAGUAGGUAAGGUAAUGGCUUACCUAGGCGACGAUCCCUAGCUGGUCUGAGAGGAUGAUCAGCCACACUGGGACUGAGACACGGCCCAGACUCCUACGGAGGCAGCAGUGGGGAAUAUUGCACAAUGGGCGCAAGCCUGAUGCAGCGACGCCGCGUGCGGGAUGAAGGCCUUCGGGUUGUAAACCGCUUUUGAUCGGGAGCGUGUACCCUUCGAAUAAGCACCGGCUAACUACGUGCCAGCAGCCGCGGUAAUUC
rnacentral:rRNA from 1 species